AUUGAACGCUGGCGGCAGGCCUAACACAUGCAAGUCGAACGAGGGGCGGACGGGUGAGUAAUGUCUGGGAAACUGCCUGAUGGAGGGGGAUAACUACUGGAAACGGUAGCUAAUACCGCAUACCAUCAGAUUGGCCCAGAUGGGAUUAGCUUGUUGGUGGGGUAACGGCUCACCUAGGCGACGAUCCCUAGCUGGUCUGAUAGGAUGACCAGCCACACGGGAACGGAGACACGGUCCAGACUCCUACGGGAGGCAGCAGUGGGGAGUAUUGCACAAGUGGCGCAAGCCUGCUGCAGCCAUGCCGCGUGUAUGAAGAAGGCCUUCGGGUUGUAAAGUACUUUCAGCGGGGAGGCGUUACCCGCAGAAGAAGCACCGGCUAACUCCGUGCCAGCAGCCGCGGUAAUAC
rnacentral:rRNA from 1 species